GAUGAACGCUAGCGGCAGGCCUAACACAUGCAAGUCGAGGGGUAGAGGUUUUCGGACCUUGAGACCGGCGCACGGGUGCGUAACGCGUAUGCAAUCUGCCUUGUACUGAGGGAUAGCCCAGAGAAAUUUGGAUUAACACCUCAUAGUAUUUUAGUGUGGCAUCACAUUAUUAUUAAAGGUUACGGUACAAGAUGAGCAUGCGUCCCAUUAGCUAGUUGGUAUGGUAACGGCAUACCAAGGCUACGAUGGGUAGGGGUCCUGAGAGGGAGAUCCCCCACACUGGUACUGAGACACGGACCAGACUCCUACGGGAGGCAGCAGUGAGGAAUAUUGGUCAAUGGGCGCAAGCCUGAACCAGCCAUGCCGCGUGCAGGAUGAAGCAUCUAUGGUGUGUAAACUGCUUUUGUACGGGAAGAAACACUCCCUCGUGAGGGAGCUUGACGGUACCGUAAGAAUAAGGAUCGGCUAACUCCGUGCCAGCCGCCGCAGUAAUAC
rnacentral:rRNA from 1 species